rnacentral:rRNA from 1 species
GACGAACGCUGGCGGCGUGCCUAAUACAUGCAAGUUGAGCGAUGAAGAUUGGUGCUUGCACCAAUUUGAAGAGCAGCGAACGGGCGAGUAACGCGUGGGGAAUCUGCCUUUGAGCGGGGGACAACAUUUGGAAACGAAUGCUAAUACCGCAUAAUAACUUUAAACAUAAGUUUUAAGUUUGAAAGAUGCAAUUGCAUCACUCAAAGAUGAUCCCGCGUUGUAUUAGCUAGUUGGUGAGGUAAAGGCUCACCAAGGCGAUGAUACAUAGCCGACCUGAGAGGGUGAUCGGCCACAUUGGGACUGAGACACGGCCCAAACUCCUACGGGAGGCAGCAGUAGGGAAUCUUCGGCAAUGGACGAAAGUCUGACCGAGCAACGCCGAGUGAGUGAAGAAGGUUUUCGGAUCGUAAAACUCUGUUGGUAGAGAAGAACGUUGGUGAGAGUGGAAAGCUCAUCAAGUGACGGUAACUACCCAGAAAGGGACGGCUAACUACGUG